AACGAACGCUGGCGGCAGGCUUAACACACGCAAGUCGAACGCCCCGCAAGGGGAGUGGCAGACGGGUGAGUAACGCGUGGGAACAUACCCUUUUCUACGGAAUAGCUCUGGGAAACUGGAAUUAAUACCGUAUACGCCCUACGGGGGAAAGAUUUAUCGGGGAAGGAUUGGCCCGCGUUGGAUUAGCUAGUUGGUGGGGUAAAGGCCUACCAAGGCGACGAUCCAUAGCUGGUCUGAGAGGAUGAUCAGCCACAUUGGGACUGAGACACGGCCCAAACUCCUACGGGAGGCAGCAGUGGGGAAUAUUGGACAAUGGGCGCAAGCCUGAUCCAGCCAUGCCGCGUGAGUGAUGAAGGCCUUAGGGUUGUAAAGCUCUUUCACCGAUGAAGAUAAUGACGGUAGUCGGAGAAGAAGCCCCGGCUAACUUCGUGCCAGCCGCCGCGGUAAUA
rnacentral:rRNA from 1 species